rnacentral:rRNA from 1 species
GAUGAACGCUGGCGGCGUGCCUAAUACAUGCAAGUCGAGCGAACAGACGAGGAGCUUGCUCCUCUGACGUUAGCGGCGGACGGGUGAGUAACACGUGGAUAACCUACCUAUAAGACUGGGAUAACUUCGGGAAACCGGAGCUAAUACCGGAUAAUAUAUUGAACCGCAUGGUUCAAUAGUGAAAGACGGUUUUGCUGUCACUUAUAGAUGGAUCCGCGCCGCAUUAGCUAGUUGGUAAGGUAACGGCUUACCAAGGCAACGAUGCGUAGCCGACCUGAGAGGGUGGUCGGCCACACUGGAACUUAGACACGGUCCAUACUCCUACGGGAGGGAGCAGUAGGGAACCUUCCGCAAUGGGCGGAAGCCUGACGGAGCAACGCCGCGUGAGUGAUGAAGGUCUUCGGAUCGUAAAACUCUGUUAUUAGGGAAGAACAAAUGUGUAAGUAACUAUGCACGUCUUGACGGUACCUAAUCAGAAAGCCACGGCUAACUACGUG